GCGUGCAGCUCCAUCCACUUGUAGCAGCAUUCCUCCAGUGCUAUCAUGAGAUUCAGUGGUGAUGUUCUGUAAAUGCCAGCCAAAAUCUAUCUGCAAGAACAUCUGCUCAACAGUGCAAAACUGAUGUAAUUACCAACCAUCAUCUUUUAUCCUCCUGCUGGGGCAACUGCUCCAAAGCAUGACUUUUUGCCCUGAGCUAACAAGAUCCAGAGGCUUGCUGCUAUGUACAAAUCCCACCGCUGGAAACAAACAUGGCUGAUACACAAAUUCUCACAGGAUCUUUCAGCUGCAAGGAGUAACAUGUACCCAAACAAGGGCAUGGUCCUGGCUCUGAGGGACAUCCAGCAGCCUUGAUGGAAAGGCCCCACAAGAGAAGGGAGCACUGGAACUCAGGUGGGAAAGCCAUCAGUGUCUUCCUCCGCUGUGCACAUGCUGGUGGCAAAGUCACCUCCCUGAGUCUUGUUACCAUGGGUUGAACCAAGGGGCCUCUCACAGCUGUGGGUCAACCAGUGUGAAUUAAAUUUCCAUACUGUGAAUUGCUGAGAAGUGGUGGUGUACCCCAUCUGCACCCACAGACAUUAAGGUGAACUGGGUAACAUUAAUAACCUUGUUGCAAAUUGCUCUCUUUCAGCAUCACUGUGGUCAGUAGAGGAGCCCCAAACUCAGGAUACCUACAACACACAUCUGCAGCACGGACAGAGAAGUGGAAGUAUUUGAAAAGAGACCAGGAAGAUGGGGUGAGAUGAGAUCUGGAAGGAGAGAAAGAGGAGAGAGCAGCCCUAAGCCAGCUCCCCAGCUUCCUGAGCACAGAGUUUUGCCGCCACCUGAAGAAGAGAGGACUGUGUGGUUUCUGGGGCUCCGCACACUGGAUAAGCACCCCCAGGUAUUUCAAGGUAUCUUUUCUGUGUUUGGAGCCCAUUCACUUGCUCUGUUCCAUCUGAAAGAUGCUGUCUGACCCUUU
rnacentral:lncRNA from 1 species